CCCUAUACCGCAAUGGAUAGUGCGUUGGACUUCUAAUCCAAAGGUUGUGGGCUCGAAUGCCAUCUAGGAGGG